rnacentral:tRNA from 2 species
GCGGGCGUAGCUCAGGGGUCAGAGCGUCAGGCUGUGGCCCUGAAGGUCGCGGGUUCAAAUCCCGCCGCUCGCCCCA